rnacentral:rRNA from 1 species
GAUGAACGCUGACAGAAUGCUUAACACAUGCAAGUCGAUGGGGAAGUGGUGCUUGCACCAUGGCAACCAUGGCGGACGGGUGAGUAACGCGUAAGGGACUUACCUGCAGGACUGGGAUAACAGGGGGAAACUCCUGACAAGACCGGAUAAUGUCAUGGAGCCGCAUGGCUUUAUGAUGAAAGGAGACGCCUGCGGAGAGCCUUGCGUCCUAUUAGCUAGUUGGUGAGGUAAUGGCUCACCAAGGCGAAGAUAGGUAGCCGGCCUGAGAGGGUGGACGGCCACAAGGGGACUGAGAUACGGCCCUUACUCCUACGGGAGGCAGCAGUGGGGAAUAUUGGACAAUGGGGGCAACCCUGAUCCAGCAAUUCUGUGUGCACGAAGAAGGUUUUCGGAUUGUAAAGUGCUUUCAGCAGGGAAGAAGUAAGUGACGGUACCUGCAGAAGAAGCGACGGCUAAAUACGUG